CAUCCUCGCCCCCUCCUCCCCUUCACUUCCCCUCGCUCUUGCUUCUAAACCCUUGCAGAUGUGCACUCUCUCCUCACUCCGAAUUGCUUGAAUAUGUGCUUACAUAUAUCGUAACUUUGUUGUGCCGCAACGUGAGAGCAAGGAGUCGUUGAUAGUAGAAAUGAUGGCAAUUCUUUGAGAAAGGCAAGAUUCUUGAUGAGCACUAACCAAGUCAGCCCCUCCACUGAAGAGGAAGUUGCUUGUUGCUGUUAAGGCAUGAACCAAUGAGCCUUAGUGUGCUGUUUUUACUUCAGCCUACAUUUGGUUUUGUGGUAAUCAAAUAAGAUUUCAAGAAUCUAUGAUUACUUGAGUAAACAAAGAAAUAUGUUCAAGAAUCAAAUGCUAGUUAUUUUUUAAGGUAUGAGAAUCAUUCACAAUGAUUUUGUGUAGAUUAUGAAAUAUUUAAAAUUAAUAUUUGUGUAUUAUUUUAUUUGUAUGUGUAAAUAUUUAUUAUAUAAAAAAUAUUGAGAGAUGGUAAAAAGUUAUUGAAAGAAUCAUUAAUAUAAAUAGGGAUUUUUUUUCUUUUCUUUUCAUGUGAAGUAUAUUAGAAACAAUUUUUGCUACCUUGAAGAUUUUUUUUAGUGAUAAGAAUUUAUUGAAUUUUUUUUAAAUGUCUAAUGAGGUUGUAUUCAUGUGAUUGAAGACAAAUUAUACAUAUUAUUCAAAUGUUUAUUAUGGCCUAUCUUUUGAAGUUUUUUACUAAGUAUAUUUCAACAAUAUGGAGGUUUUAUUUGUUUGUUGUAAAUUGAGAUUUAUAAUUAUUAUAAAACUUUGUAAUAAGUUUGUGGAGGGUA